rnacentral:rRNA from 1 species
CAUGCAACUUCUAAGUUUCGCACCGCCUAACAUAUUCGGGGGAGAGACCAAGUAACCAAGAUGCCGGGCCCCACAGGUGUGAUAUUGUUUAAUAGAAGAACGCGAAGACCUCCCAGGUUUACAUCUGCUAAGAAAGUAGAGAUACAUCAGUGCCUUCGGGAAAGCAGAGACAGGUGUGCAUGGUGUGUCAGCUCGUGUCGUGAGAUGUGGGUUAAGUCCCGCAACGAGCGCAACCCUAUUGUUAGUGCUACGCAAGAGCACUCUAGCGAGACUGCCGUUGACAAAACGGAGGAAGGUGGGGACGACGUCAAAUCAUCAUGCCCCUUAUAUCCUGGGCUACACACGUAAUACAAUGGCGGAGAACAGAGGGAAGCAAAGCCGCGAGGCAGAGCAAACCCCAAAAAAGCCGUCCCAGUUCGGAUCGCAGGCUGCAACCCGCCUGCGUGAAGUCGGAAUCGCUAGUAAUCGCGGAUCAGCAUGUCGCGGUGAAUACGUUCCCGGGCCUUGUACACACCGCCCGUCACACCAUGAGAGUCGGGAACACCCGAAGUCCGUAGCCUAACCGCAAGGGGGGCGCGGCCGAAGGUGGGUUCGAUAAUUGGGGUGAAGUCGUAACAAGGUAGCCGUUCGAGAACGAGCGGCUGGAUCACCUCCGUGCUAAUC